GACGAACGCUGGCGGCGUGCCUAAUACGUGCAAGUCGAGCGGACAGAAGGGAGCUUGCUCCCGGGAGUUAGCGGCGGACGGGUGAGUAACACGUGGGCAACCAACCCUGUAGAUCGGGAUAACAUCGAGAAAUCGGUGCUAAUACCGGAUAAUCAUUUGAAGUGCAUGCUUCGAAUGUAAAAGAUGGCUCCGGCUAUCACUACGGGAUGGGCCCGCGGCGCAUUAGCUAGUUGGUAAGGUAAUGGCUUACCAAGGCAACGAUGCGUAGCCGACCUGAGAGGGGGAUCGGCCACACUGGGACUGAGACACGGCCCAGACUCCUACGGGAGGCAGCAGUAGGGAAUCUUCCGCAAUGGACGAAAGUCUGACGGAGCAACGCCGCGUGAGUGAUGAAGGUUUUCGGAUCGUAAAGCUCUGUUGUUAGGGAAGAACAAGUGCCGUUUGAAUAAGGCGGCACCUUGACGGUACCUAACCAGAAAGCCACGGCUAACUACGUGCCAGCCGCCGCCGUAACAC
rnacentral:rRNA from 1 species